GACGAACGCUGGCGGCGUGCUUAACACAUGCAAGUCGAACGGAAAGGCCCUGCUUUUGUGGGGUGCUCGAGUGGCGAACGGGUGAGUAACACGUGAGUAACCUGCCCUUGACUUUGGGAUAACUUCAGGAAACUGGGGCUAAUACCGGAUAGGAGCUCCUGCUGCAUGGUGGGGGUUGGAAAGUUUCGGCGGUUGGGGAUGGACUCGCGGCUUAUCAGCUUGUUGGUGGGGUAGUGGCUUACCAAGGAUUUGACGGGUAGCCGGCCUGAGAGGGUGACCGGCGAAAUGGGGACUGAGAUACGGCCCAGACUCCUACGGGAGGCAGCAGUGGGGAAUAUUGCACAAUGGGAGGAAGCCUGAUGCAGCAACGCCGCGUGCGGGAAGAAGGCCUUCGGGUUGUAAACCGAUUUCGCAUGUGACGAAGAGUGAGUGACGGUAAUGGGUAAAGAAGCACCGGCUAACUACGUG
rnacentral:rRNA from 1 species